UACGUAGGCAGCAAGCGUUGUUCGGAAUUACUGGGCGUAAAGAGUGUGUAGGCGGUGCUCUAAGUUCGGUGUGAAAUCUCCCGGCUUAACUGGGAGGGUGCGCCGGAAACUGGAGUGCUUGAGCGCGGGAGAGGAAAGCGGAAUUCCCGGUGUAGAGGUGAAAUUCGUAGAUAUCGGGAGGAACACCAGUGGCGAAGGCGGCGACCUGGACGGACAUUGACGCUGAGACGCGAAAGCGUGGGGAGCAAACAGG
rnacentral:rRNA from 1 species